rnacentral:rRNA from 1 species
GACGAACGCUGGCGGCGUGCUUAACACAUGCAAGUCGAGCGACGCUCUUCCUUCGGGGAGCUGACGGAGCGGCGAACGGGUGAGUAACACGUGGGCAACCUGCCCCUAGCUCUGGGACAACACCGGGAAACCGGUGCUAAUACCGGAUACGACAUCGAGCGGCAUCUCUCGAUGUGGAAAGUUUUUUCGGCUAGGGAUGGGCCCGCGGCCUAUCAGCUUGUUGGUGGGGUAAUGGCCCACCAAGGCGACGACGGGUAGCCGGCCUGAGAGGGCGACCGGCCACACUGGGACUGAGACACGGCCCAGACUCCUACGGGAGGCAGCAGUGGGGAAUAUUGCGCAAUGGGCGAAAGCCUGACGCAGCGACGCCGCGUGAGGGAUGACGGCCUUCGGGUUGUAAACCUCUUUCAGCAGGGACGAAUUCAGACGGUGCCUGCAGAAGAAGCACCGGCCAACUACGUG